AUUAAACGCUGGCGGCAUGCCUUACACAUGCAAGUCGAACGGCAGCACGGGGGCAACCCUGGUGGCGAGUGGCGGACGGGUGAGUAAAGCAUCGGAACGUAUCCUGGAGUGGGGGGAUAACGUAGCGAAAGUUACGCUAAUACCGCAUAUUCUGUGAGCAGGAAAGCAGGGGAUCGCAAGACCUUGCGCUCUGGGAGCGGCCGAUGUCGGAUUAGCUAGUUGGUGGGUAAAGGCCUACCAAGGCGACGAUCCGUAGCGGGUCUGAGAGGAUGAUCCGCCACACUGGGACUGAGACACGGCCCAGACUCCUACGGGAGGCAGCAGUGGGGAAUUUUGGACAAUGGGCGGAAGCCUGAUCAGCCAUGCCGCGUGAGUGAAGAAGGCC
rnacentral:rRNA from 1 species